CACUCCCUGCUCACUACACUCUUUCUAAACUUGCUGCCUCCUCCCUCUGGACUGUAUUCAGAAUGAAGACGCUCCUCAUUCUCUGCACUCUUUUUGAAUUACUGCCUCCUCUCUCAGCGCUAACUUCAGAAUGAAGACACUCACUGCUCACUGCGCUGUUUUUAACAUGCUGCCUCUUCUUUUGGUGCUGUCUUCAGAAUGAAACUACUCCCUGUACUCCGUGCUGUUUUUGACUUGCUGUCUCCUCUCUCGGCACUAUGCUCAGAGUGAAGCUACGACUUGUUCUUUGUAAUUUGCUGCCUCUUCUCUCUAUGCUGCAUUCAGACUGAGCCAUUCCAUACUCACUGUGUUCUUUUCAACUUGCUGCAUUCUUUCUCAGUGCUGUCUUCAGAACGAAAUGGCUCUUCACUCGGCAUACUUUUUAACUUGCUAUAUCUUCGCUUCAUAAUGAAGCUACUCCACAAUCUCCAUAGUCCUUUUUAACUUGUUGCCUCCUCUGGUGGUGCUGUGUUCAGAAUCAAGGUAGCUGCAGUUUCUGUACAUCCUUUCUGCGCAAAUGACUGUUACCAAUAGAGAUCCUUGAUCCUUUCUUGUUCAUCCGCAAUUAAGCCCCUUGAGCCUCAUAUUUCUGAUUCUGCUGUAGUUGCCCUUCACUUAUUCUCCUCCUCCUUUUUCAUUUUCUUAGUUUUAUCCAUGCUAAGACUGUAGCUGGCUUCAUUGGUUCCAACAUAUGAUGUGGAAUCACUGAUCUGUGAAGGAAGAUUAGGAAUGAGAUGCAUGCUUUGUAUUUGGCAUCUUGAAGAUAAAAGCAAUUUUUCUACCCUUAUCUGAUUGUUCCUGUCUUGGAUGAAGCCGUGACCUACCUCCACCUUCACCCCAGAAAGAUUGGUGGUUGACUGAGCCUAAACCCAUUUCCGAAGAAGGAUGCUGACCCGAAACGUGAACUUUCCUGCUCCUCUGCUGCUGCCUGGCCUGCUGUGUUCCUCCAGCUCUACACCGUUAUCUCUGACUCCAGCGUCGGCAGUUCUUACUAUCUCAUAGUGAACAGGAAGCUGCUGAUAGCUUUUACACCCUUGAUGUGCAAUGAUAGUUUUUUUUAUCAAUACAAAGUCCUUAAUAUAUAUUGUGCAA